rnacentral:rRNA from 1 species
AUGAAAUAUCAAUGUCUACACUAUCUACAUAAUUUUCAUCAUAAUAUAUAUCAAUGUGCAUUGCACGCUUGGACGAUGACAAAAAAAGAAGCAAACAAAAAUUCACUCAAACAACAAAGGGCAGCAGGUUACGCCACGUGGUCACAAAACCCCCCGUUCCCAUCUCUCCUGAUAUCCCCCUCGCCACGAACCAACCAACCAUCCAUCACAGGAAGUUCCGCUUCCUCCAGAGAAACCAAGAAAGCAGAGCAGCAGCUCAGGCGAGUCCUUCACCUCGAUCCAUGCAAGAUGGCAUUCGCCGCCUCCAUGGCCUGCUGCAAGCCAUCCGCGCUGCUGGCCCCUCGCGCGGCGUCGUCUUCGUCGCCGUCCGGCCGUCCCAGGUCAUGCACUGGUUACGUGACCACGUGGACUAAACUUAACUUAAAAGAAAAGUCUUCCUUGUCCUUGGUAUAUAAAGCAUCGCACUUGUUAUGUUGCAUAAAAAAAAUGGACCGGUGA